rnacentral:rRNA from 1 species
AUUGAACGCUGGCGGCAGGCCUAACACAUGCAAGUCGAGCGAGCGGCGGACGGGUGAGUAAUGCCUGGGAAUUGCCCAGUCGAGGGGGAUAACAGUUGGAAACGGCUGCUAAUACCGCAUACGGUUUGAUUGCCCGGGUUGGAUUAGCUAGUUGGUGAGGUAAUGGCUCACCAAGGCGACGAUCCCUAGCUGGUCUGAGAGGAUGAUCAGCAACACGGGAACUGAGACACGGUCCAGACUCCUACGGGAGGCAGCAGUGGGGAAUAUUGCACAAUGGGGGAAACUCUGAUGCAGCCAUGCCGCGUGUGUGAAGAAGGCCUUCGGGUUGUAAAGCACUGUCAGCGAGGAGGCGGUACUCGAAGAAGAAGCACCGGCUAACUCCGUGCCAGCAGCCGCGGUAAUUC